UACAGAGACUGCAAGCGUUAUUCGGAUUCACUGGGCGUAAAGGGUGCGCAGGCGGCCAAGUGUGUUAGGCGUGAAAGCCCGGGGCUUAACCCCGGAAUUGCACCUAAAAACUACAUGGCUAGAGCAUUGGAGAGGGUAGCGGAAUUCACGGUGUAGCAGUGAAAUGCGUAGAUAUCGUGAGGAACACCAGAGGCGAAGGCGGCUACCUGGACAAUUGCUGACGCUCAGGCACGAAAGCGUGGGGAGCAAAAGGG
rnacentral:rRNA from 1 species